rnacentral:misc_RNA from 1 species
GAUGAAGAACGCAGCGAAAUGCGAUAACUAAUGUGAAUUGCAGAAUUCAGUGAAUCAUCGAGUCUUUGAACGCACAUUGCGCCCCCUGGUAUUCCGGGGGGCAUGCCUGUCCGAGCGUCAUUGCUGCCCUCAAGCACGGCUUGUGUGUUGGGCUCCGUCCCCCCGGGGACGGGCCCGAAAGGCAGCGGCGGCACCGAGUCCGGUCCUCGAGCGUAUGGGGCUUUGUCACCGCUCUGUAGGCCCGGCCGGCGCCAGCCGACAACCCAUCAUCCUUUUCAGGUUGACCUCGGAUCAGGUAGGGAUACCCGCUGAACUUAAGCAUAUCAAUAAGCGGAGGA